AAAGAGCGCUGCCAAUCGAAGGGAAGUUGAAGCUCGCCCCAGUGCCUCCUCAAGAAGCGGGCGGCGGGGUGCUCAGGGGGUAGCGUCGUGGCAGCCAUUUUAGUUGAGGGCAGAACCCCUCGGUUGUGCCCUUCCUUUCGCUCCUCUCCCAGCUGAAUCUCUUUGCCCCUCAAUCAAAGACUCAUGGAGGGCUCACUUGGUGGUUUGGGAAGCAGCGUGUUUGUUCAGACGGGAACAAAGUCUUUGGCAACUACUUUUCUUGGCACGGUUAGUUCUGAUCUUCAGUCAGAAUUUACCCCUCUAGGACAUGUCUUCUCCCUACAGAGACAACAUCUCCCAGUGGUUUAGGACUCAAAAAGAUGGGUAGAAAAGAUGCCUCUGCUGCAAGAAGUCCUGUUGAGCAAUACCGGAAACAAAUAGGAAAACAAGAUUAUAAGAAAACCAAACCAAUGUUACGAGCAACAAGAUUAAAAGCAGAGGCCAAGAAAACCGCAGUGGGCAUAAAGGAAGUUGCCCUUGUCCUUGUAGCUAUACUGGUAUUUCUGUUGGCUUUCUACGCUUUCUUUUAUCUUAACCUUUCCAAUGAAGUUGACCUUGAUCUGGAUCCAGAUGAAAACUAGCAGAUGCAGUGUUCUCUUUGGGAAAAAGCAUCUACCUUGAACAAUACUACACGGAACCACACAGUGCAACAACACAGCUGUAGGAAAUGGUAUGGCUUACUACACAAUGAUACUUUGCAAUAUCUCAGCCUCUCUGGUGUUCUGAAUCUGCAAAAUAGGGAAAAAAACUGGUGAAACAAAGCUUUUUUGGUUAUCAGGAAGCACAGAAGCCCUACAGUAUGAUUACUGAAUGGUAUACUUGAAUAAAGUGACCAAUUUAUAUUAUUUACUUUUUCUGAAUGAAAACUUUCAUGUAAAAAAACAGUUUUUUGCGUUAUAAUUACUGGUAUCUAAAAGGGUAGAUGCUAACCUCUGACGAGUCAUGCACCCAUUCCAUGAAUCCGAAUUUCCCAAUAGCUAUACUAGAUUUUUAUUACAUCUAAAAGAAAACACAAAUCCCAAAUAAAACAUGUUUCAUUGAUUUAUACUGAGAGCACAUCUUCAAUUUCUCAUUCUCUCUCUCUCUCCCCAGCUCUUUCUGUCAUACACACAGAAAAGUCAUAGGUCAAAGUCUUUUCAGGAGCGAUCUCUCAUUUCCUGUAUGGGCCUAUUUUAUGUCAUCCUAGAUUCUGUAUACUCGUAUAUCUACAAUAAUCUUUUUCAUCCUUUUGCCAACUGUUCAGUGCACAUGUGCUCUGUAAGAAAAGGACACCUGGAUGACAGAAGCUUGAACAGUCACAUAUGCCUCUGAAACAGAGUUCCUUGCCUCCUGUGCUGUCUAAGCUGGUGUAAAUAGAAAGUUCAGACAAUGUUGAUUUUAAUUAGUGUAUUGCUCUAUUAUUAAAAUAAAGUAGAAAUUAUAUUUUAAUUAUACUAUUCUGCCUCCUGCAAUAUCAGCCUGCCCUUCUUCUUAAGAGGAUGUGGUAAAAAUUGUUUUCCAGUUAUACAAUCAUUUUCAUCAAACCAAUGCAAAGGGUGGUAUCUGCUAACAAACGUUUUCUUGCAUAUUCCUAAGGAAUAGUAUCCUUUCAUUCUUGCAAAGUACUAUUCUGAAUGUGUAGCAUAGAGUUUAUUUCUGAUCACUCUACUAAACAAAUGCAAACAACUUGAAAAAGGAGGUAGAUCAAAGCACCUGUAGAGAGGUCUGUUCAAUUUAGGUUUUAUACUGUCCUGUUUGGUUUGUGGUGUAUCUUUGUUUACAGGUCCUGUGAUGCGAAAGGCCGUCAUAUUUGUGUUCUUGAAAAAUAUGGUCAGCAUUUCACUUGUUCUGAUUUUUAUUUUCUUUAAAUCAAUGCACGGAAAGAAAAAAAAAAACACCCCUACUACCUUCAGUGGUGUAGGUUUGGUAGAUUUUCUUUUAGAGGGGUUAAAGAAAUCCUGAAUCUAUCAUCAAAUUAGCCCUGUUUUAUCUUAUAUAAGAGUCUUGAGCUAAAAAUUAAACGUAUUUCCCAGUAAGAAGUUUACUGACCCAUUGAGGAAGUGCUCAAGGUAGUUAGACUAAUAUUGUCAUUUUAGAGACAAAAGGAAGCAAAAUAAUUAAAAUUAAUAUUCUAGCAUAUAAUAAUAUAUUAAUAAUUCCAUUAUCACUAGUUAAAGCCCAGUUUAGGAACUUAAAUCAAUAUGACUUAUUUUAAGCCAUAUCUGUGCCAAGAUACAUUGAUUGGGUAAGGACAGACUUUUUAUCAGUUAUGUUCCACAUACUGAGUUGUGUAACACCAGACAGCCCAUCAAAAAAUGCAGAAUAUAACAGCAUCUCUAAUACAUGUAUGGAAACAAAACAGCAUACAUGUACCAUAUUUUCUUACAUACAACAUGUAUCUUUUUCCAAAAACCCAGCUGCUGGAAAUUGGAGUAUGGUUACUCUGUAUGUGAGAAAUAUGGUAAGAGUGGUUUUUGCUUCUUACCAGUAAAAAGUGAUAAUAAUAUCUGCACACAAUCCACAGGGAGCAAAACAGUGAAUAAGCUUGGCUCCCUAUUUGUCACAACUCAGUUAUUUACUACAAGUUAAGAUUUUUUUUCUUCAUUUGCCUUUUAAAAACAAGGUGCUUAUCUUAUUCUGGGGUGCAUAGGGUGCAUUGUAUGUGAGAAAAUAUAGCAUUUUUCAUUCCGUAAUUAUGACCAAUUGCAGUCAGAAAAUCCUGCAACUCAUAUAUUCACAUUAUGUAGAGUCCAGUAAUACUUACAUACAUUGCCAAAUAUAUUGCAACACACUGCAUUUUUGGCAACGUGCUUUUUAUGAUAUGUGGCAUUUCUUUCAGUGUCAGGAAAGGCAUAUCACAAGCUGGCCUUUGGAGUGUGACAUGCCUGUCACUUCAUCAAGUGCCAUGCCAGAUGUCACACAGAACUGUUGUCCUCUCUUCUGUUUUGCAUGAGCAACAUCCACUUUCUACAAAAACCUAUGUAUUUUAUAGGGAUUCUUUAGUUAAUAGCUGCACUGCGCUUUGUGUUACAUGCACUGUAAGUGUACAGUAUUAUCAUUCCAUUCAUAAAUGUUCCCUUGUAUAUUGUGUUCUGAAACAGUAAACUUUUAAAUAGGAUAUUUCUAACAUAAAGAGUAACUUGAAAUUAUUAGAACUUUCCCUGUAUUAUGAGAGUUACUAGUGAAAUGAAACUGUAUAUAUCAACAAUUUCACUAGUGAAAUCAACUCAUUGGUUUAUGGAGCGGAAGUCCACAAUGCCCUCAAGGUCUGCUGUUUGUAUUUGAGUCUUUUAGGUGAAAGAAAUAACUAAGUCACAUGUAACCAGAGAGUCCCCUAUUGCUAGAAUACCUGCAGAGGUCCAAACCAAUGUACAUGGAGAUGCAAAGAAAAUAUCACAGCAAAUACAAUGUGAAAUAUAAGUCAUGCUGUUAGUACACUCAUUAAAGACAGGAGAAUGCUAAUUUUGUAACAAGUGUGUAGAGCUAAAAGCUCCUACCUUCAGUCAAACCAGACACUUGUUUUUUGACUACAUAAGCACAAAUGUAUUGAAUAGGACCUGAUUCUGGUGUUGCUUCUCUUAUGCUGGCUCCAUUGAUUUCAGUACAAUGACACCUGAUUUGUAUUAAUGGGAGGUCAAAAUCUGACCUGUGGUUAUCUCAGCCAAUAUGCUUUCUGGAGCAUUUACAGCAUCCACUUCUGAUACCUUUAAAUGGAGAUCAUUUUCAGUACCUUAGGUGAAUAUACUUUUUUUCUUUAAUUAUAGGUAUAUGCAUAUCUGAGAUCAGGAUCAAUCUCAGCUUUUUUAGCCAUUUGUCUCUGUAACAGUAGCUCAAUGGCUAUUUUAAUGAUCAUAAAAUGAGUACGUAUGAGUACGUUUUACUGGAAGUUCUUAGGAGCUUUUAUUAGUGGGAUCUAUACUGCAGUGGUAGAUACAUUUGGAAGGCUAUACCAUUGGCCCACACAGCAUGGUAUUCACAUUUGAGCUGUGCUACCAAUUAAAGCUCACUAAUGUUUAUGAAAUAUGGAACAGUCCAUGUGAUUCUAGGCACUAAACUUGUAUUAGAAUGAACUUUAGGACUUACAUAUUGAAAACGUAACAAAAAGAGAUUCAUAUGUCUCCUAGCCAGUCUUAAUAGUGGUCAUUUAUGUUUACAAUGAGAAUUUCUCCAUUUUGUUUGUCACGAAAAUCACACUGAUUUGAAUAUAUUCUGAGCAUCAUUUCAUAUGGCUUGUUUUACGUAAAGGGUGCUGGUCACAUCAUUAACCAAACUCCAUGAGGCAGUGACACCCCAGAGUAUUCAUCUCCCAACACUGAGCAUGCUUUAUUAUUGGUCCUGCCUUCUCUUUAGGCAGUAAAUAUAUAAACUGCAACUGGGGUUCUAGCUUAAUAGAAGCUACUUGGGAAACUUGCUUGACUGACCAGACCCAUUGUGGAAAAAGUGGCAGAUGGCUCUAGGUUCUCCAUAGGAGUAAGACUAGUGAAGAUUUUUCAUCCCUAGCCAGGAAGAUUUUUCUCUCUAGAGGGAGUAUAAUGCUAACAAUUAUCUUGGUCAAUAAAACUUUGCCAGUACUUUUUUUUCUAAUAAUAUGAACAGCAGCAGACCAGGGAACAGUUCCAUGAGUAUAACAGAAGUGCAAAACCCCAUUGUGGUUGUUAUGAUGAUAUGAACAGUGAAUAUGAUAGACUUUCCAAAGCAAACAUUUUUAAUAUGUUCACAGAAGUCCAUGAGUAUAUUUUAUUAGAAUGAGAAGAUAUGCAUUACAUACUUCUCUAAAGGGCCCCAGAGAUUUAUUUAAAGUUUUGUUGAAGGAUGCUUUAUUUAAAGAUUAUUGAGGCAUCCCAUAUAGACACCCACGUAAUCUAGUAUAUAUCAUAGCUACGUCAAUACAUCCCAUCAGUUGCAGCAGCAACAACAUAUUCAUUGAAGUAUUGGAACAUUACAGCUACAUGAGAAUAUAUGAGAUAUUUUGUACUUGCUUGAGUAUUCAGAGUAAUAUUGACCUGACUAGUCAAUGUAGCCACAGACUAGAUUUGAAAAUAAGCAGUAUUUAAACUGUCUUAUUUAAAAUGUGCAGGGCAAAACCCUAUUAAAAGAUCCACAGCCUAUCAGUGAAAUUUAACACCAAGCACAGGGCUCAUCUUAUUUAAGGCUAGCAGAUUAAGAAUCUCCUUUUGCAAGUAAGCAGUGUGCCAGUGUGGCAGUACUGUGUACUGCUCCAGUGUAGUAGAACUGUGUCUCUUAGACGCAAGUGAACCCUUAAUGGUCAAGGUCAAGUGCAUUGAUGCAAGUCCUCAGAAAGAGAAUGUACUUGAAAUCAAGAUAACCCAAUUUAGAAAGCCAGCAAACAGAAUAUUGCGGAUUCAGAUGGCAUUUAGAAUUUUACUUAAGCUAGUACAAUUAUUAUGAUGAUUGCGGCCCAGGAAAUAACAAUGUGGCACAUCAGUAAGAUAGCAGAAAUGUACACUGGAACAGCUUUCUAAAGGAUUUUGCCUGUACUUUGAGAAAUAAAUCUGAGAUGAAUAAACUGGCAAAGAUCAUGGGUAUUCUUACGCUCAUAACAACAUUCAGUGUGUUGACACCCUCAAUAAGGGGGAGAGAGAGAGAAACAACAGACUAGCUCUUUUUUUGCAGUACAAUGUUUUUUCCCUUCAUCCUACUAUAUAGUUUGCUUUAAAUUACUAUGCUAUAUAUGGGGCACACAUUUUCAAGAACACAAAAUGAAUUUUGAUAGUUUGUCAAUGGAUUUAAUUGACAGCAUCCUCUACUCUCUUUUUUAUUCCUAAUGACAACCAAAUUGGUGGGGAGACAGCCAAAAUGCUAGGUACCAGUGUCUCUCAAACAGAUGUCACACCAUUAUUUUUUAGCUCGUUUAGAUGAAUAAACAUGUUAAACUGUGAAGUAUUACAUUUUAGAUUUUUUCAUUAAAAAUGGGACAAUCUGUUUACUGUCCCUAAUUGAGACAACAAUCUUGGUGGUUGCCAGUUUUGGCAGUUGUAACGGUGAACUAUAAAUAUUGGGACCAAUCAAAUAACUGAUGAUUGUGAAGGAUAGUUCAUGUCAAAGGUUCCCUUUGCAUGGAUAGUGAUUCAGUGAUAUAUUUUAUAAUUUCUGGAAAUAUAAUUGUUAUACUAGUUUUGCAUGUAAAGCUUAAAAUAAACAACAAAAAACAUUCAAACAA